CUCUGCGUUGUCAUCUAAGUCGACAGUGGUAACAGUGUUAGCAUGGAUGCCACCUGGUUGGUCGCCGAGAACUAAGUUGCAAAAUACCAAAUGUGUUCUCAUGUGCAUUGAACAUAGCAUUGAACUUCUUACGAUAAUCUCCGCAGUGCUGUAUAAGGUCUGAUAAAGCAUCAAUGCGAUCAUCAAUAAUGAUUGGGGCUAUGUGAUCCGUAGCCAUUGUCAUGUCUGCAUCUAUCUGUUUUAGAUGUGCCAUGGUGGUCUGGUAUUGGUCAUUGACCGCAGUAGCUAGUUGUGUGUGGUAGUCUACGGUCAGUGUGUCGAUUUUCUCCGCAAUGUUAGUUCGGUGUGGCAACAUGGGUCGAAUGUCUUGUGUUUGUGAUGUUUGUAACCAAGUUGGUAGUAUCUUGGCGUUCAGAGAUUGGCUUAGGUAUGAGUGGUGAUGUUCCACCUUUUCGAAAUUGAAAAGAGCCUGUCGUCUGUUGUGUAGUAGCGUUUUAAUUAUCGUGGCUGCGUGUGGUGGUCGCAGCUGGUUCUGUUGUGGGAUUAGUUGUUACUGAACCCCGUGUUCUUUCUCGGGUAACGCAUUCUGUCGUAGGAUCUCUUGUAUUUGUCUAGAGGAUGAAGGAGGCGGCGGACAGGGCGGCUCCUGCUGCGGUAGCGUCCCUCCGUGCGGCUCCGUUGGUGGAUUUACGGAGAGCAGCGCGUGGUCUGUGUCUAGUGGCGUUGUUGUUGUAUUUGACCCGAGCACUGCUAUUUUUUCAUGGAGGUAGUCAUCGUCUAGUCAUGCGUCGUCCUCGGGAAUUGGUGUUGACGUUCGCUGCUCGUAGGUGUCGGUCCCUCUGCUUGAGCCCGCGACAUCCAUGACGUACACAGGCUCCUCGGAUGGACGUUUCGAGCUGGUCUGACGUGACGCUGCUUGAGGCUUGACCGGUCGCUUGUUCCGUUGUGAUUUUCUGUCCUUACUUCGACCCAUCGCAUUGAAAGCAUGUCUAUAUGUCAUUGGGCUCCAUGUGGGAGUGCAGCUUCUCGCUUGAGUUUGUCGUUUGGACAUGUCAUGGUGAUCGUCGCAGCUGUUGGUAUAUGUAAUUGUUACUAGAGAAACAAGUUAUAAUAACAUCAAAAUAAUGUUUUGUGUUAUAUACUAGAGUCGCCAUGAAUCAAAUUGAGAGAAACCGAUAUCCAGUUAGAUAUCGUUUCAGCGUGCACUCAAUUAACCGGACGCGGUACGACCUAAUGACGUACGCGUUUCGGUUUGCUAUAACCUUCAUCAGCGCCAGGCACGUACCGAUGAGAAUGUCUAACCUUGUGGCACGCUAGAGAGUGUAUCACAUCAGUCCGGUACUUGAGACUCGUUUCUCAAUGGCGUCCUUUGAGCUGUAUGUGAAGGCCUCGGUGAGCUUGAACACAUAAUAAUGUUUUGUGUUUUCGUGUAUUAGUGUAUACUAGUCAAUGAGUAUCAUCUGACAAACCUACACAGACUAGAUAAAAUAAGUAAAUGAGCAAAGAAUAAUUUAUAUGUAAUUGAUCAAGACAAUUGUUUCCUACCAACCUGUUGUCGCCUUAGCUUCAUUUUAGACCCAAAAGUUUGAUUGAUUUCAAAGAUGUCUUCGUAUAUCUUAAUGGCAUCGUCGUAUUUUUCUUGGUACAUCAAACUUUUUCCCAACCAAUUUAAUGCUAGGUUAGAGACACAACAAUCAGUCACAUCGCCUCUUCCAGUCAUUUCCUGUAUUCUUUUAGACAUUCCCAAUAUCUUUACUCUCAACAAAACCUAACAUUAAAUAAAGUCUAACAAAUAAUCAAAGAAUAAGACGUAUGUAAUUGAUAAAGAUAAUUGUCUCUUACCAACCUGUUGCCGUCUUAGCUUCAUAAUCUGACUCAAAGUUUGGUUGAUUUCAAGGAUUUCUUCAUAAAUCUUGAUGGCAUUUUGGUAUUUUUGUUGAUACCUUAAAGUCUAUUGGUUGAGAUUACGUCGUCAUACGUACUUCCAUCAGGUUGUUGAUACCCAUGUCCUCGUCUUCCUCUUCAGUUAUUGUCUUUAUUUUCGACCUUGUCAGAGUUUGUCCCAAGUUUUUGCUACUUCUGUAAGCUAUUAUAGGUUUAUUCGGAAAGAGAUCAUUAAGUGUCGGAUUAUUUUCGAUUAUAUUCCAGUGUCUUUUGAUGAUGUCUUUGACGUGAUGGGCUCUUGGUUGUAGUAGAAUGGAGAAGAUUGGUCUCUGUGUUGUUUUGUUGUUGAUAUUGUCUUUCAGAUAGUCCGGUCUUUUGUCGUGGGCGAUGUCGUCUGCCCAUGUCUGGGGUUGGCUAAGUCUGUAACCUCUUUGUGUCAGAUGUUGGAAGUGUCGUUCUUUUGUUGUUCGUAGGUGUUUCUGUCAGAUGUGUUUAAAUGAAUCUUACCAAUUCGCUGUUACAGAUGCUCUUCGUUGUCGAUUUCGGAUGAAUACCGUCGUUAUCGAAUCGUGUCCUCUUGUAUAGGUCAAUGUCCAAGAAAGUCGUGUUUUUGUCGCUGAUGGUCCAAGUCUUGCGUCCACGUUAGGAAAAUGUCGUCUAUAUAUCUGUACCAAUGCGUUGGUCUGAUCGUUUCGUUUUUCAUAAAAGUCGUCUCGAGAUUAGUCAUGAAGAUAUUGGCGAAUGAAGUGUGUGUGGUGAAGCGACAGUUGGAAGCGCGAGUUGAAAACAAUGGGGCUAUCGGUCUACUUGAAAGAAAGGCGAGGCGGAGAUGUGUUGUCUCUUUUGUGCUUCCGUUUCGGUCUCUAUAUAGAUUCUAGGAGCUACGCAGUUAUACUCGCAUUCGACCAACGCAUCGCAGUCGACUCUAGAUGAAAUGGCAAUGAAGAUCACGGCAUCAAUCGUGGAAAUGUAAGAACGGUACAGGAAGCGCAUUGUCUACAUGCAAAGUACUGGCGGCAAAGUACAUACGACGUCAGUUGGUUUUGCCCGUGGUAUCCAUCUGCAUGAGUGUGCAUGUACAGUAUGAGUAACGGUUUGACAUAAAUGGUUUUGAACGUACCUUGCAAUUAUUAUGUAUACUUGUCUAGAUCUGACCUUACGUAGCAUUUCUUGCUACUGUACUUUUCUCUUGCCACUAAUUAAUUUGCCAACUUAAUUUGGUUCUCCA